GCAGACAUUCUGACAUGCCAUAGCAAGAAAAUGAUAAGGCGCAUGUAAAACCUUAACAUCUCCCUGUAUUAUUACUGUAUUAUACAGACAGCAGUGCAUUUGGCUGUUAGAAUUCCAGGGCCCUGGUGUAGAUCUUUCCAAAGCUAAUGUCAGCUUGUCAGUGCUGGGAAAGCACGGGCGUAAUUGAUGUUAUUGCGUUUGGCUGAGAUAGUUCCAGGGUGUCGGUAUGGCGCGCGCUGGCUCGCUGUCUUGGCUCGCCGAGGCACUUAAAGGAACCGAGCCAUCGUUAACUAAAUUAGCUUCACCUGUGCUUCUCAAGUCUGCUGUGACAAAGGUCUGCGGCUCCUGCUGGCUCAUCGACAGGGCUCACUGGAGCACUCGCUAAUGUCAUUAGUUACACCUGUGGUGAAAAGUCACAUUGUCUGCUGUGGAGAGAGGGGGUCCAUGGAGCCACAUCAAACAAACAUCAGCAGGCGAUCUGCAGCGGGCUGUUUGCUUCCUGCGUUCUGGGGCUUUUCUGAUAAAAGCCACUGAAAAGGGUUUUAAAUGAUAUACAUUAAAAUAAUCUGACUGGUAAAACAUGAAAUAUAAACAGAUACAAUAGUUUUCUAGCAUAACCCUAACUUACUAUUCAUACCGGACCCAGCAGAACUCCUGAGUGUACUGAAGUCUGCAGAGUCUGCUGGAAAUGCUACUCAGAUUCAGAGGCUGCCACUGACACACAGUCAGCUGACAUCAGGCCUGUGUGACAGACAGUGCGAGGCGCCCCCUGCUGGCCGACACUGCUGCUGCUCCAGAUCUUUGUCUGCCUGUCGAUGACGUCGUCCUCCUUUUUGCUGCAGACACACACACACACACACACACACACACACACACACAGAUGCACAUCGAGACGGAGCGCUGUGUCUUCCUCCACUGACAUCUUAGAAAAUUCGGCUCAGCACUGAUGUGGCACUUCAAAGCCUCCCUCUCUACAUCAUUGCCCAAGUUCAUCCACACCAUUAGCUCAAUGGCUAAAGAGCCCAGCGAUGAUUACAUUUUAAUAAGGCACCUGUUGGACAGCCAGCCAGCACUCAAAUCUUCGCCUCGGGAGAUGAAUGGCGUUCCCACCUGCUUUCAUCAUCCGCAUUAAUACGCUGUCAAUACUUUAAUCACUCCAUAAUGAUGCUAUUAUGUCACCCCUGUCAGGGGAAUA